GGGUUGUGAGGUUAAGCGACUAAGCGUACACGGUGGAUGCCCUGGCAGUCAGAGGCGAUGAAGGACGUGCUAAUCUGCGAAAAGCGUCGGUAAGGUGAUAUGAACCGUUAUAGCCGGCGAUGUCCGAAUGGGGAAACCCAGUGCAAUUCGUUGCACUAUCGUUUGAUGAAUACAUAGUCAAACGAGGCGAACCGGGGGAACUGAAACAUCUAAGUACCCCGAGGAAAAGAAAUCAACCGAGAUUCCCCCAGUAGCGGCGAGCGAACGGGGAGCAGCCCGGAGUCUGAAUCAGCUUGUGUGUUAGUGGAAGCGUCUGGAAAGUCGCAGGGUACAGGGUGAUACUCCCGUACACUAAAACGCACAGGUUGUGAACUCGAAGAGUAGGGCGGGACACGUGGUAUCCUGUCUGAAUAUGGGGGGACCAUCCUCCAAGGCUAAAUACUCCUGACUGACCGAUAGUGAACCAGUACCGUGAGGGAAAGGCGAAAAGAAC
rnacentral:rRNA from 1 species